GGAACAUCAAUGGUGCCAAGUGCCAUUUAAAAAUCUUUUCAUCUUCCUGUGUGUUGCUUCUAGAGAGGAAAUGUUCUAAGAUGUGGUUUCCAGUCUUGUAGAAAAAUGGCAUUUUCAGGCUGUGUGGGACUCUUACAUCAUCUAGUUUCAAUCACCUCAUUUUGCAGAUCAAGAAACUGAGAGUGAGAAACAAGGGACUGGCCAGAGUUACUCAGCUAGACAGUGUCAGACAACAGUGGAACUUGUGAAAAAUGCCAAAAUGGUUGAGCGUUUGCAGCUGAGACGCCUAUGAGCUAAUGAAGGUCAAGCAGACUAAGGCCCCGGGGAGACACAGCAAAGCUGGCAUCGGAAAUGAGAUCUGGCUUCUCAUAAUGAUUGGCAAACACACUGCCUAUUUACAGCAUAGAGACCCCAGUGGAGAGCUAGGUGGGUGAUGAUUCAUGCUAAAUCUUUCCCACAAUAUGCUGAACACUACAACUGCAGCUAAUGUGAAGGGACUCAUUAUACACUGUCAAAUCUGAUAACAGCAACGACUGGCUUUGCUAACACGAGCAAUUUGUGGGAAGUCCAGCUACUGCAAACCAUUACUGAAUUUCAAAAAAUAAGCUGCAAUAUAGUAGAAAAGACAUAUCCAUUGAGUCAUAUUUGCAAAUUUCUUGUGUUUCUCUUUGCCAGUUUAGAAACAGCCUCAUGUUUCCUGCUUGACUCCAGAGAUGACUUUCCUUGGGAUUCACUUAUCUUACUGUUUGAAAUCCAGAAGGAC
rnacentral:lncRNA from 1 species